AGAGUUUGAUCCUGGCUCAGAACGAACGCUGGCGGCAGGCUUAACACAUGCAAGUCGAGCGCCUCGCAAGAGGAGCGGCAGACGGGUGAGUAACGCGUGGGAAUCUACCCAUCUCUACGGAACAACUCCGGGAAACUGGAGCUAAUACCGUAUACGUCCUUCGGGAGAAAGAUUUAUCGGAGAUGGAUGAGCCCGCGUUGGAUUAGCUAGUUGGUGGGGUAAUGGCCUACCAAGGCGACGAUCCAUAGCUGGUCUGAGAGGAUGAUCAGCCACAUUGGGACCGAGACACGGCCCAAACUCCUACGGGAGGCAGCAGUGGGGAAUAUUGGACAAUGGGCGAAAGCCUGAUCCAGCCAUGCCGCGUGAGUGAUGAAGGCCCUAGGGUUGUAAAGCUCUUUCAACGGUGAAGAUAAUGACGGUAACCGUAGAAGAAGCCCCGGCUAACUUCGUGCCAGCAGCCGCGGUAAUACGAAGGGGGCUAGCGUUGUUCGGAAUUACUGGGCGUAAAGCGCACGUAGGCGGAUAUUUAAGUCAGGGGUGAAAUCCCGGGGCUCAACCCCGGAACUGCCUUUGAUACUGGGUAUCUCGAGUCCGAGAGAGGUGAGUGGAAUUCCGAGUGUA
rnacentral:rRNA from 1 species